rnacentral:rRNA from 1 species
AACGAACGCUGGCGGCAUGCCUAACACAUGCAAGUCGAACGAGACCUUCGGGUCUAGUGGCGCACGGGUGCGUAACGCGUGGGAACCUGCCCUUAGGUUCGGAAUAACUCCCCGAAAGGGGUGCUAAUACCGGAUAAUGUCUUCGGACCAAAGAUUUAUCGCCUUUGGAUGGGCCCGCGUUGGCUUAGCUAGUUGGUAGGGUAAAAGCCUACCAAGGCGACGAUCCAUAGCUGGUCUGAGAGGAUGAUCAGCCACACUGGGACUGAGACACGGCCCAGACUCCUACGGGAUGCAGCAGUGGGGAAUAUUGGACAAUGGGCGAAAGCCUGAUCCAGCAAUGCCGCGUGAGUGAUGAAGGCCUUAGGGUUGUAAAGCUCUUUUACCCGGGAUGAUAAUGACAGUACCGGGAGAAUAAGCUCCGGCUAACUCCGUG